AGACAACCGGGCACCCCAAACUCCACCCAGCAACUCCACUUUGUGGCCGGCCCAUGAGGAGGAGCACGGGAGGCCACCGGCCACCGCCAUCCCAGGCUCCACACCUACCGGCAGCAAGGGCGCUCGCGAGAGGCGAUGGUGUUGCACUUGUAUAUGCAUCUAAUUCUCUGGACAAACUAGAGAUUGCAAACUUUGAUCAGAAGAUUGGUAUCCAAAUCAUUCAGAAUGCUUUGAAGACACCAGUGUACAUGAUUGCUUUAGAUGCAAGCGUAAAAGGAGCAAUGGUUGUUGGCAAGAUUUUGGAGCAAGAUAACACCGAAAGACUACAAGCAGAGAAUUUUAUUUGGUUGGCGAGGGUUUACUGCCAAUUUUUGCAUUUUUGACAAAGAUCUGAGUAAUGAAAGUCAGGAGAAGAGGAUUUGUAUGAGCAUGGCAACCAUGACCAAAAGGAUCAUUUUGAUGCACACGUAUUUGAUGAAAUGCAGAUUCUUUACAAGGGGAAUAAAUAUCCAAGUUGUUAAUGUUGUUAUCAGAUUUCUCCAAGAAUGCUAAAACCUAUGUCCACACAGUAUGCAUAUAAUAGAAUGGCAUUUGGAUUUUGGUGCUCUGACUAUGAGGCUUUCUUUGCCUGGUGAGCAUUCUACCUGGUCUUGCCAUCUAAUUGCUAGAAAAGCUACACACCUAAUUAUGGCUGGGAGGAAAAUAUGUGAGGGUCUAUUCGAUCUUUUCUAUAUAAAAUAUAUACAUCUUGGUGAACCGAACAUGCUCAUGUAGGUGCUUGAUAAACAGCAAGAUGAACCAUAGAGGCAUAGAGUCGUACACUGGUCAGCUGUAGGAUUAUAGGAUAGUAGCUAUUGACUUUAAGUGAUGAACCUUUGGUAUGGUGCAGAUUUUCCGCCUUCGGGAAAUAUGCCGAAGGUCCAUUUAAAUUGCUCAUGUAGUUUAUUAUGUGCUUGAGGUUUCAAUGUUGUCAGCUAACUAAUGCAAUUAUGUUGUGCUGAUGAUUAUUAUUGAACUUCUGGCAAUUAUUCAUGUUCCCUUUUUAUCUCAUUGUUUUUUAAACCAGUCUAUCAAUGAUUCCUUGCAUGAUAAUCUUGGAGAUCGCACCUUAUUUCACUAUGAUACCUUAUUGCAACGGUUGGAGCAGGAGCGGAACAAUACAUGAGCCUCUUUCAGUAAGACUAGAACAAGGCCUCAUUUGCAUAUUUUCAGAUGCAUGUAUCAACUCUAGACUUUAUGACAAGAUGAGCAUGACAGGGAUAUGAUGAUGAACCUGCGACCCUGGAAUAUGACAAGGGCUUCAGGAUAAUAACCAAACUCAGCCUGAGACUUUAUGACAAGAUGAGCCAAAAUUGAUGUUGGUGGUAAUAUCACGAGACAACAAGUAUUCUUCUGACCCGUCAAAGUAUGUGGACUUGUACACCAUGGUCCAAGACGUUCAAAAUAAAACUGCAAAAGGUUCAUCGAGCUGCACAAAUGGGCUUCUAUGGCUCACUAGAUGCUUCACUUUCUCCUGCAUAAUUUGUCACGUUCAAUUCCAGCUUAAUUAGCAUCCUGGGUAUUGGAGUUGUAUCGUAUUUUUGUAUUUUUUUAAAUAUCGGGGCUAUGGACUUCCUUGUUGAACUAUUCUGUAAUCUGUGCUUGACCAUCCAGACUGGACUAUGAGUCAAGCAUGUACUGAUUCAUACACAAAAACUCUGAAGAAAUGGCAUGGCUGGCUUGCCACGUCUGUCUUUUGUGCUAA